rnacentral:lncRNA from 1 species
AGCGGAUGCGCAGGGACCCCGGGCAGCUGUCUCCCGCCCCGCGGUCCGAGCCCGGCGCAUCUUCCCUACGCGGCGGGGAAACUGAGGCCCAGGGACGGGAGGGAGGACCCCACGUCGCACAGCCUGCUUUCCCAGGGCCGUAGUUCAGCAGCAUCCGAUAACAAUGAUAAGCAUUGUAACAAGUGUUGUACUGUAUUAUUUUGUGUGACAACAAUGGUAACAAGUCACUUGCACACCAUGCCUUGGCUCUGGAUCAGCGACACAGGCGCAGGACCGGUGGCUGUGCUCUGAGCCAAGGCCCAGCCCAGCGCAAGGCCAGGCCGCGGCAGGAGGAGCCUGCAGGCCGCCCAGCCCCUCGGCCCCUGCCCUGAGAGGAAGCGCCCACGAGUAAACACAGCCUCAACGUCCAGCCCAGCGGGUCUGUCGCAGUCCACGCCGGCCAGAUUGCAGUCGCCACAGCGCUCUCCCUUCCUGGGAGGAUGAGUGAGCUUCGCCUCCAGGGGAGAUGUCAGUUUCUUCAGGCUUUGGAGCCAGAGGAAGUGACCGCUUACUUUGGCCCUGACGCUGCCUCCGAAGGUACUUGUCCUGGCGUCUUCCUUGCGAGGGGAGUUUCUCAGAGCCUGCAGGGGGCAUCUCACCCUUGGGUCAGGGACCUCGGCUUUUCAGUGGCUCAGCUGAGAGGAGGUCAGCUGCUGCUGUCACCCUGUUAAUUAGUUCCGUUACUUCCUGCCAAGUCGAUAAAAACUGGUCUGGGUGUCCUGGGCCGGGCUGGGGUCGUGACCUGGGAUUCUGCUCAAUAUCUCAAGGGAAUGGGCACUAAUUAGUUGGUCU